UUUGAUUUGCAAGAACAUUUGUUAGCACUGCGGCGAUAUCAUUUUAUGGAACUGGCAGACUGGGCGGAUUUGUUUAUUAUGUCCCUUUCGCGUCAUAAAUGUUGUGUUACAGAGGUGGAGCAGAGAAUCUCUGAAAUUCAAGGACUUCUUGAGUUGUCAGUGCAGAGAUCAUUUUGUGAAAGAGACCAUCAUAAAGAUAGGUUAUUUAUAUAUGCAAAAUGGCA